rnacentral:tRNA from 1 species
UUAAUUGAAACCAAAAAGAGGUAUGUUGCUGUUAAUAACAAAAUUGUUUACUAAACCAAUUAAA